rnacentral:rRNA from 1 species
UACGUAGGGGGCAAGCGUUGUCCGGAUUUAUUGGGCGUAAAGAGCGUGUAGGCGGCUUUACAGGUCCGUUGUGAAAACUCGAGGCUCAACCUCGAGACGCCGGUGGAAACCGUAAGGCUAGAGUCCGGAAGAGGAGAGUGGAAUUCCUGGUGUAGCGGUGAAAUGCGCAGAUAUCAGGAGGAACACCGGUGGCGAAGGCGGCGUCCUGGACCAACUCUGACACUGAUGAGCGAAAGCCAGGGGAGCAAACGGG